ACUAGACCCUUUAUAUCCAGGGCUACACACACGCUACAAUGGUCUGUACAAUGGGUAGCCAAGCCGCGAGGCGGAGCCAAUCCUGAAAGCAGGCCUCAGUUCAGAUUGCAGUCUGCAACUCGACUGCAUGAAGCCGGAGUUGCUAGUAACCGCAGGUCAGCUAUACUGCGGUGAAUACGUUCCCGGGCCUU
rnacentral:rRNA from 1 species